AACGAACGCUGGCGGCGCGCCUAAUACAUGCAAGUCGAGCGAGAAGACGUAGCAAUACGUUUGUAAAGCGGCGAACGGGUGAGGAAUACAUGGGUAACCUACCCUCGAGUGGGGAAUAACUAGCCGAAAGGUUAGCUAAUACCGCGUACGCUCCUUGGACUUCGGUUCAGGGAGGAAAGCGAUACCGUGGGUAUCGCGCUCUUGGAUGGGCUCAUGUCCUAUCAGCUUGUUGGUGAGGAACGGCUCACCAAGGCUUCGACGGGUAGCUGGUCUGAGAGGACGAUCAGCCACACUGGCACUGCGACACGGGCCAGACUCCUACGGGAGGCAGCAGUAAGGAAUAUUGCGCAAUGGGCGAAAGCCUGACGCAGCGACGCCGCGUGGGGGAUGAAGGUCUUCGGAUUGUAAACCCCUUUCGGGAGGGAAGAUGGAACGAGCAAUCGUUCGGACGGUACCUCCAGAAGC
rnacentral:rRNA from 1 species